rnacentral:misc_RNA from 1 species
AAGAGUUGCAAAACUCCCAACCAUUGUGAACGAACCUUUAUGCUAAGGCGAGCGGCGCUCUGUCGCUGCAAGCUGACGCAUUAAACUCUUAAUUCAGUGAAUAUCUGAGUAGCUUAUUUAAUAAGUCA